GGUGGCAGUGACUUGCUGGGAAGGGGAUCGAUCACAACCUCCAGCAGCUGUUCAUCAUCCGAGACUCAUGGUUUGAAAGCCCUGUAGGAGCUCUGUUCGUGAAUUUUGGCAGUGGCUCAUUGUGAGGAGUCCGGCCACAAUUCCCAACUGCUGUGCUUCAUCCGGGGAUUAGUAGCUCUGUGAGGACUUGGAUCUGUUAAUCAGCAGCAUUUGGGCAGCAUCGGUGUGCUAGUGUCGACGAUUUCACCUUUCAAUAGCAAGUUACCAGUGGGAGGUGCUGGUGAGGUAUG